CCUACGGGAGGCAGCAGUGGGGAAUAUUGCACAAUGGGCGCAAGCCUGAUGCAGCGACGCCGCGUGCGGGAUGACGGCCUUCGGGUUGUAAACCGCUUUUGACUGGGAGCAAGCCCUUCGGGGUGAGUGUACCUUUCGAAUAAGCACCGGCUAACUACGUGCCAGCAGCCGCGGUAAUACGUAGGGUGCAAGCGUUAUCCGGAAUUAUUGGGCGUAAAGGGCUCGUAGGCGGUUCGUCGCGUCCGGUGUGAAAGUCCAUCGCUUAACGGUGGAUCCGCGCCGGGUACGGGCGGGCUUGAGUGCGGUAGGGGAGACUGGAAUUCCCGGUGUAACGGUGGAAUGUGUAGAUAUCGGGAAGAACACCAAUGGCGAAGGCAGGUCUCUGGGCCGUCACUGACGCUGAGGAGCGAAAGCGUGGGGAGCGAACAGGAUUAGAUACCCUGGUAGUCCACGCCGUAAACGGUGGAUGCUGGAUGUGGGGACCAUUCCACGGUCUCCGUGUCGGAGCCAACGCGUUAAGCAUCCCGCCUGGGGAGUACGGCCGCAAGGCUAAAACUCAAAGAAAUUGACGG
rnacentral:rRNA from 1 species